rnacentral:rRNA from 1 species
AUGCAGGAUCAUCUUCGACAUGGAAAUGACGAGAUGCUGGAAAUCUUGGAGUAUGGCUAUCAUGCGGUUGAUCCAAAGAACCCCACACCAAGAGAAAUAUAUGACAAGAACCUCAAUGACACUGCUAUCAUGUGUAUAAGGAGAGGCAUGGAUGAAAAGCAAAGGAGACCGUUCAUACACAUCACAAGUGCCAAGGAACUAUGGGAAAGUAUCAUACGAUCCAAGACUGGCACCUCUACCCUCCGAAGUGCUCAAUAUGAAAUUGCCAAGGGGCAAUUGCAAAACUUUUGUAUGGAGAAAGGUGAAACCCCCAAUCAACUCCAUGAGCGCCUCAUGACUCUCACUGCCGAUAUUGAGUCAUGUGAGUGUGACAAGACACAAGAUGGAUUCAACAUGACUAAGAGAUUCCUUGUGGAUAAAUUGCUUCAUGCUCUUGCUCCAUAUCACCAUCAAAUGGUGUGGGACAUAAGACAGCACCAUACUUUCAAGGAAAUGACUACAGAUGACAUCAUAUCCACCUUUCAACUAUUUGAAGAGUCAAAGGCUAAUGCCACAAAACAUCUUGCCAUGCAUGGUUCCCCAUCAUCAAAGGUCAAUCUUGCAUUGAAGGCCAAGCAUGUAUGUGAAGAUGAGCAAAGUGAAGAAGAAGAAGAAGAUGAUGAUGAUGAUGAAGAUGGUGAUGAGAUUGAAUCCGACGAGGGCCCGUCAUAUGAAGACAUGGCUCUCUUUGUCAAGAAGUUUAGCGCGGGAAAAUUCAAGGGAAGAUUCCAAAAGAAGGAAGUAAGAAAAUGCUACAACUGUGAGGAAACCAACCACUUCUCAAAUGAGUGCCCUUAUGAGAAGAGAGAAGAUAGACCAAGGUUUCCCAAGACCUUUCCUAAGAAGAAGUUGCCAAAUCCUUUGAACUCCAAGCUCAAGAAGAGAGAUGGGAAAGCAAUGGUUGCUCAAGAAGAAUCUGAUCCGGAUGAUGUUAGUGGUGUUGCCAGAGUUGCUCAAGAUUCGCAAAACACAUUGAGGCUAGUCAAUAAGAGUGGUGAAGUUGUCACCUACAACUACAUGAAGGAUUACAAGGGCAACGCUCACAAGUGCCUCAUGGCGAAGGCCGUGGUAGAAGAUGGAGAGGAUCAAAACUCUCCUGACAAGGUCAAGGUAACCCCACGAUCAAACCCUCCUCUUCUCACUCCUCCUGUUUCUAGUGAUGAGUAUCUUGAUGCGGAGGAUAGUUAUGAGGAUGAUGAUCUAAAUGAUCCUAUGCUUGCUAAACUUAAUAAAUUCAUGUGCUCCCUCAAAGGAAAGAAGCUCACUAUGUUUCGCAUGCUUAUGGAGAUGGUGAGUAAGCACACCAUCACCAUUAAGGAACUCGAAACCCUCGUCACCGAGGAAAAGGAAAAAUGUGAAAUCCUUGAGCGGAAAGUCCAAUAUGAGGAAACACGAAAUGAUGAACUAUGCUUAAAAAUUGGCACAAAUAUUGAUGUUCAUACUAAAGAUCUU